rnacentral:ncRNA from 1 species
AAUUACUUGCCGCCGGGUAAGAAAUCAGAAAAGCACUUAUUGAUUGCAUCGUUAGGCCUUUGAAGAUGCAAUCAAUAGGUGCUUAUUUUA